rnacentral:rRNA from 1 species
AGAUUGAACGCUGGCGGCAUGCUUUACACAUGCAAGUCGAGCGGCAGCGCGGGGGCAACCCUGGCGGCGAGCGGCGAACGGGUGAGUAACACAUCGGAACGUAUCCCGUAGAGGGGGAUAACCCGGCGAAAGCCGGGCUAAUACCGCAUAUGCUCUACGGAGGAAAGU